UACGUAGGGGGCAAGCGUUACCCGGAUUUACUGGGUGUAAAGGGAGCGUAGACGGCUGUGCAAGUCUGAAGUGAAAGCCCGUGGCUCAACCGCGGAACUGCUUUGGAAACUGUAUAGCUUGAGUACUGGAGAGGCAGGCGGAAUUCCUAGUGUAGCGGUGAAAUGCGUAGAUAUUAGGAGGAACACCAGUGGCGAAGGCGGCCUGCUGGACAGAAACUGACGUUGAGGCUCGAAAGCGUGGGUAGCAAACAGG
rnacentral:rRNA from 1 species